GAUGAACGCUGGCGGCGUGCCUAAUACAUGCAAGUCGAGCGAACGGACGAGAAGCUUGCUUUUCUGAUGUUAGCGGCGGACGGGUGAGUAACACGUGGAUAACCUACCUAUAAGACUGGGAUAACUUCGGGAAACCGGAGCUAAUACCGGAUAAUAUUUUGAACCGCAUGGUUCAAAAGUGAAAGACGGUCUUGCUGUCACUUAUAGAUGGAUCCGCGCUGCAUUAGCUAGUUGGUAAGGUAACGGCUUACCAAGGCAACGAUGCAUAGCCGACCUGAGAGAGUGAUCGGCCACACUGGAACUGAGACACGGUCCAGACUCCUACGGGAGGCAGCAGUAGGGAAUCUGCCGCAAUGGGCGAAAGCCUGACGGAGCAACGCCGCGUGAGUGAUGAAGGUCUUCGGAUCGGAAAACUCUGUUAUUAGGGAAGAACAUAUGUGUAAGUAACUGUGCACAUCUUGACGGUACCUAAUCAGAAAGCCACGGCUAACUACGUG
rnacentral:rRNA from 1 species